UUCAAUGUUUGCCUUUUAAGUUCAGUUCGAUGUGUAUAUAAAUGGAGUGCUUUGUUUUAGUGUUGCAAUGAGUUGUGUAUGUUGGUGUCGUGGUCACAAAUAAAAACAUGCUUCAAUAAGCAAAACUGCUAUUUGUUAUUGAAACUUACAAAUACAAGAAAAAUAUUAAACAUAAAACGAUGUCUUUCAUGUUUUAUUAGGAUGACAACUUCAUUUUUACCCUUAAUUUUGACUUUCCUAUUUUAUUUUCUUGUGUGUAAAUACAUUUGUGUUCUGUGUUUAUUUACUGUUUUGAAGUUUUAAGUAAACAUUAAAUUCAUGUAAAUUUCAUUUUAUUAAAAAUUCAUCCAUAUCAUAUUUGUUAUUUCCAGCGCAAUGUGGUGAUUUGGUUUUCAGCAGGUCUAUGAAACCGGGAAUUGGGAAAUAGUCACUUGUGAAGAAUUUUAAUAAGUGUGCUUAUUUCUUUUUUACGUCUCAAUAGUUAAACGGAAGUUAUCAACACUGUUAGAGAAGACGGUAAAUUUGAGUUUAUUCAAAAAUAUUUGAUAUUAUAUGGAAAUUUUUUAUCUGUUGAAUAAAAAAUUACUUCUUAUUUUGGGACAAGUUUAUUUAUAGAUUCAGGUGCGUGAAUUUGUUAAAACAAAAUACAUUGUUGAAUUGAAUGGUGUACUGAGACAUAUACAUCGUUCAAAGCUAGAAGGUACACCUUUCAAUUGGAAAGGGUUGUGGAUAUCUUGAAAUCGUUGUUGAGGGAGCUUUGGUUGUGAAGCAUCUUUCCUUAGGUCCUGUUGAUCGGGUUUGUUGUUUCCCUAGAAUUUUGGAAUGGCCAUCUCUCACCAUAAGGACAACAAACAUUGAGUUCACAUUUGAAAAUAAUAAGAUUGUUUGGAAAUGGUCUUUAACCGAAGAAGACAAAAGAAAAGCUAUUUUGAGGAUUGCACUGAAUCUCUCUAAAGGAGGCACGACAGAUGAAGGUGUUGAUGAUGUUGGAGGCGAUAGAGAAUGUUCCCAUUUUGUAAAAUAGAAAUUGGAAAAAAAAAUAGUAGGCGCAUUGGUAACUUGCAGGCAGAAAUUAAGAAAUUGUGUGAAGAUUUCUUCAAAUGUUAAAAACCUCACUCAUCCCCUUCUAAAGUGAGUGUAGAUGAAGCUGAUAAGUUCCAUUGUCAACCGAAUCCAAAGGAAAGAUGUGACCUAGCAAUUGUUCCCGUCUAUGAAUCAAAAACAAUUUCAUUGGAUUUGGUUAGGAAAUUGUUAUACACAAAUGUGACAUUGCAACUGCACAAAUACAA